rnacentral:rRNA from 1 species
UACGUAGGCAGCAAGCGUUGUUCGGAGUUACUGGGCGUAAAGAGUGCGUAGGUGGUGCCCUAAGUCUGUUGUGAAAUCUCCCGGCUUAACUGGGAGGGUGCGGUGGAAACUGGGGUGCUUGAGUGUGGGAGAGGUAAGCGGAAUUCCUGGUGUAGCGGUGAAAUGCGUAGAUAUCAGGAGGAACACCAAUGGCGAAGGCAGCUCGCUGGGACGUGACUGACGCUGAGACGCGAAAGCGUGGGGAGCAAACAGG